AGAGUUUGAUCAUGGCUCAGGAUGAACGCUGGCGGCGUGCUUAACACAUGCAAGUCGAGCGAAGCACUUAAGGCGGAUCCUUCGGGAGAAGACUUAAUUGACUGAGCGGCGGACGGGUGAGUAACGCGUGGGCAACCUGCCUUACACAGGGGGAUAACAGUUAGAAAUGACUGCUAAUACCGCAUAAGACCACAGCAUUGCAUGGUGCAGUGGUAAAAACCGAGGUGGUGUAAGAUGGGCCCGCGUCUGAUUAGGCAGUUGGCGGGGUAACGGCCCACCAAACCGACGAUCAGUAGCCGACCUGAGAGGGUGACCGGCCACAUUGGGACUGAGACACGGCCCAAACUCCUACGGGAGGCAGCAGUGGGGAAUAUUGCACAAUGGGGGAAACCCUGAUGCAGCGACGCCGCGUGAAGGAAGAAGUAUUUCGGUAUGUAAACUUCUAUCAGCAGGGAAGAAAAUGACGGUACCUGACUAAGAAGCCCCGGCUAACUACGUGCCAGCAGCCGCGGUAAUACGUAGGGGGCAAGCGUUAUCCGGAUUUACUGGGUGUAAAGGGAGCGUAGACGGCACAGCAAGCCAGAUGUGAAACCCGGGGCUCAACCCCGGGACUGCAUUUGGAACUGUUAAGCUGGAGUAUCGGAGAGGCAAGUGGAAUUCCUAGUGUAGCGGUGAAAUGCGUAGAUAUUAGGAGGAACACCAGUGGCGAAGGCGGCUUGCUGGACGAUAACUGACGUUGAGGCUCGAAAGCGUGGGGAGCAAACAGGAUUAGAUACCCUGGUAGUCCACGCCGUAAACGA
rnacentral:rRNA from 1 species